rnacentral:rRNA from 1 species
AGUGAACGCUGGCGGUAGGCCUAACACAUGCAAGUCGAACGGCAGCACAGUAAGAGCUUGCUCUUACGGGUGGCGAGUGGCGGACGGGUGAGGAAUACAUCGGAAUCUACUUUUUCGUGGGGGAUAACGUAGGGAAACUUACGCUAAUACCGCAUACGACCUACGGGUGAAAGCAGGGGAUCUUCGGACCUUGCGCGAUUGAAUGAGCCGAUGUCGGAUUAGCUAGUUGGCGGGGUAAAGGCCCACCAAGGCGACGAUCCGUAGCUGGUCUGAGAGGAUGAUCAGCAACACUGGAACUGAGACACGGUCCAGACUCCGACGGGAGGCAGCAGUGGGGAAUAUUGGACAAUGGGCGCAAGCCUGAUCCAGCCAUACCGCGUGGGUGAAGAAGGCCUUCGGGUUGUAAAGCCCUUUUGUUGGGAAAGAAAAGCAGCAGGUUAAUACCCCGCUGUUCUGACGGGACCCAAAGAAUAAGCACCGGCUAACUUCGU